AGAGUUUGAUCCUGGCUCAGGACGAACGCUGGCGGCGUGCCUAAUACAUGCAAGUCGAACGCAUUUUCUUUCACCGUAGCUUGCUACACCGAAAGAAAAUGAGUGGCGAACGGGUGAGUAACACGUGGGUAACCUGCCCAUCAGCGGGGGAUAACACUUGGAAACAGGUGCUAAUACCGCAUAAUUCCAUUUACCGCAUGGUAGAUGGAUGAAAGGCGCUUUUGCGUCACUGAUGGAUGGACCCGCGGUGCAUUAGCUAGUUGGUGGGGUAACGGCCUACCAAGGCUGCGAUGCAUAGCCGACCUGAGAGGGUGAUCGGCCACACUGGGACUGAGACACGGCCCAGACUCCUACGGGAGGCAGCAGUAGGGAAUCUUCGGCAAUGGACGCAAGUCUGACCGGGCAACGCCGCGUGAGUGAAGAAGGUUUUCGGAUCGUAAAACUCUGUUGUUAGAGAAGAACAAGGAUGAGAGUGGAAAGUUCAUCCCUUGACGGUAUCUAACCAGAA
rnacentral:rRNA from 1 species